rnacentral:lncRNA from 12 species
CCCCCCCAUUUAACUCACACCCUGGUCUCAUCUGUCACCUUCCACCCUGAGGCCCCCAAGCCUCUCUCACACCUCUUCCAGGAAGAAGUCUCCUCUGAUGUUGAGGGUUCCAAGGGUGGGAGGUAUAGAACCUAAAACAGAGGUAAGUUCUGAACCACCACCCAAACCACUGAUGAUAUGACACCCUCCCCCACCACACACUAUGAGGAGAACUGGACCUGUGCGGGGGGAGGACAGGGCAACCAGGAAGGGAGGGUGUAAGGCAAGAGUCAGUUACCCGGAACUGUGUAAAACCAAACCAGCUUGGUUUUAAAGUCUUGAGUCUCUUUCUUGAGCUCAGAGGACCCAUCCGCCCAGGUUACCAGCCUCUUCAUCUCCAGGACCCAGACACCCAGUGCUCACCUACAUGGAGCCCUAUCGGUCCUUGGCUCUACUCACUGGCUCCCUGGGCCUGGUGUCCAUCCUGAUUGCUCUGAGUACGGAUUUCUGGUUCGUGGCCAUGGGGCCCAGCUUUACAUUUCACUCCGGCCUCUGGCCAAAGGGGGUUUAUAACAAAGUAGCAGGUAAGGGAGAGGGGUCUCUUGUUGGGGGCGGUGGGCUGCCAGAGGGGCAGGCACCAAAAUCUCACCUCCGUACAGACUACAUCCGUGCGACGCAGAGCCUCACCAUUCUGGCUAGUCUGUCGGUCCUGGUGUCGGUGAUCUUCCUGGUCCUGUCCUACAUCCCCUUACUGUCCCUUCCAGGCCACGGGCGCCUCAUCUCCUCUGUCACAGCCUUUGCUGCAGGCCUUUUUGCGAUGGUGGCCAUGGUGGUCUAUACCAGUGAGCGGUGGAACCAGCCUCACAGCCCCCAGGUCCAGACCUUCUUCUCCUGGUCCUUCUACCUGGGUUGGGUUUCGACUGUCCUGUUGCUCUGUACAGGUAGCCUGAGUCUGAGUGCUUAUUGUAGAGCCUCCCGGCCUGGCUAUGACACCUUGUGAGCUGAAGGCGAGACCAGGAGGAAGAAGCAGUAGUCACAGAAGAUGUCGUCAGGAGCCGCAGGCACCCACAGGCCUCCCUCUAGCCCUUACCCCUAGCCCUCCUGAGACCCCUUCAUUUGUUUCUUCAUCCAUUCAACAAAAAUUUGCUGGGAUCUGGUU